rnacentral:lncRNA from 1 species
AAGGAAGAGACUGUCUUUUUCUUUACAAUGCUUGAUACACAAGGAGGUUGAAUGUUCUUCAUUGAGGGGAAUUUUGCCUUGAUAUAUUCCACAAAUGCUUCCACUUCAUUAGGUUGUCCUUCUAAAGCAAGCUCAUUUACUUCAUUUUGGAUUAAUUGCAUUAACCAAGAAGAUGAAAUAAUUUCUGAACUUCUUGAGAGAUUGCUCCUUUCAGAUA